rnacentral:rRNA from 1 species
CCUACGGGAGGCAGCAGUGGGGAAUAUUGCACAAUGGGCGCAAGCCUGAUGCAGCAACGCCGCGUGAGGGACGACGGCCUUCGGGUUGUAAACCUCUUUUAGUAGGGAAGAAGCGAAAGUGACGGUACCUGCAGAAAAAGCACCGGCUAACUACGUGCCAGCAGCCGCGGUAAUACGUAGGGUGCAAGCGUUAUCCGGAAUUAUUGGGCGUAAAGAGCUCGUAGGCGGUUUGUCGCGUCUGCUGUGAAAACUGGAGGCUCAACCUCCAGCCUGCAGUGGGUACGGGCAAACUAGAGUGCGGUAGGGGAGAUUGGAAUUCCUGGUGUAGCGGUGGAAUGCGCAGAUAUCAGGAGGAACACCGAUGGCGAAGGCAGAUCUCUGGGCCGUAACUGACGCUGAGGAGCGAAAGCAUGGGGAGCGAACAGGAUUAGAUACCCUGGUAGUCCAUGCCGUAAACGUUGGGCGCUAGAUGUGGGGACCAUUCCACGGUUUCCGUGUCGCNGCUACGCAUAAGCGCCCCGCCCGUCGGGAGGUACGGCCGCCGACGGACGUAAACCUAACGAACGAAGUAGACGGCGNGAGACGUCGCCGAACGGACGACCGACGAGGGAGGUAGG